rnacentral:rRNA from 1 species
UACGUAGGGCGCAAGCGUUAUCCGGAAUUAUUGGGCGUAAAGAGCUCGUAGGCGGUUUGUCGCGUCUGCCGUGAAAGUCCGGGGCUCAACUCCGGAUCUGCGGUGGGUACGGGCAGACUAGAGUGAUGUAGGGGAGACUGGAAUUCCUGGUGUAGCGGUGAAAUGCGCAGAUAUCAGGAGGAACACCGAUGGCGAAGGCAGGUCUCUGGGCAUUAACUGACGCUGAGGAGCGAAAGCGUGGGGGAGCAAACAGG